GGUUAUGAGUGCCAGCGUCAAGCCCCGGCUCGCUGGCCGGCAACCCUCGCGCUCGCGGCGGGGUGCCCCGGGUGAUGACCGGGCUCGGCACGAGGGGUGCCGGGCAAGCGCGGGCU
rnacentral:ncRNA from 2 species